UUGGCCCACGCACCCCUCAACUCACUUCCCCUCUUCGCCUCCCCCCCUUUCCCUCAAAAGAACCGUACUGUAUGUUUUAUAUAACUAUACAAUAACUUACAGUUACAUGAGAAAUAAUAGCUAACAUCUCACAAAUUGAACUCUACAAAGAAUCACAAUUUGGUUUCCUCUCUGCAACCUAGGGUUUCAUUCUUCUUCUCAUCAAGGUACAAAAAGAAAUGGUAGUGUCUCUACAAUAUGGAGAUUUUGCAUCAAUGAACGAAAGUGAGAAACUCAGCCUCUUAUUUGGUUAGUAUAUCUUUUUCCCUUUCUUGGGUUAUCUCUCUGUCUAAAGGUUAACAAUAAAGAUAGAAAUGUGAAUUUGAUGAAGAUAUGCAGUCGAUAGUAACAGAAGAGCUCUUUCAAGAUUUUGGGAGAAGUGACAGGAGAAUAAAGGAAGGAGCUUAAAACGUACUGGCGGUAUAAAAAAAUUUACACAAUCGGGUCACUUGUAAGAUCAUUACAAUAAGAUUGUAUGAUAAUUAUUAAAUGGUGAUCUGCUAAAAAUGGUUGUACUUGCUAUCACAGCUUAAACUAUACUGAUAACGUAAAAAUUAUUUUACACUAGAAUAUAGUGAAUUCCAUCCAUUUUCUAUUUCCUACGAUGCUUAUAUUAUCUUUCUGAUUUUUGUUGUUGUCAUAGAUUCUAUUGUCUAUUUUCUUCUUCUUGAGCCGAGGAUUUUUUGGAAACAACCUUUCUAUCCCUCCGGGAUAGGGGUAACAUCUGCAUACAUUCUACCCUCCCUAGACCCCACUUAUGGGACUUUAUUGGGUUGUUAUUGUUGUUGUAUUGUUGUAAUUAUGUGUGCUAAUUUAUUUUGCCUGCUUUUAAUAAUUUUAUUUUUAGAAAUUUGUCUCUUAAUUGUUGUUGUUUUUAACCCUUUUUGUUUAUAUCUUUUAUUGAUUCCCCUUAUGUUCAAAAUCAUCCAAGUCAUUUAUUAAGAGGAUCCUCCACCAUGAUUUGGUGGUUUUGUAUUCUCAAUUACAUGUUCCGCAAUUUGUAAAUCCUCUCUGUAUCUGUUUCUGAUUUGUUCAUCUUUAGUGAUAGUUUUCCCUAUCAUGUUCUUGACUUUGCUUCACUGGCUGAUGUUGUUGGUUUAAUUCACUUGUAGUUGAAAUAUCACCCUGUUCAACUCUUCUUGGUCUUCUCCUUCUUCGUUGUUGGCCAAACUAUCUGUUCUUGUCCUGCUCAUUCACUUUUUGCACAGUUAUGCCCUAUGCUUAUACAUUUAGUAUUAUUAGCUUUCUCUUUCACCAUGUUUGGAACUUUUUAAUAAAGGUUAUUUGAAUUCCAGAAAAAUUUAUGUCUUAUGCUUUAGAUUUAUAAUCGCCAUGUUUUAUUUAUUUACUCCAAUUGUUCAAUUAACACGAUGAUUAAAUUUAUUUAUUUGUUUUUUUUAAAUAAAAUAGUUAGAGAAGUUUUUACUAAACUGACAUGAGCUUGUUCUUUCAACAUGCCAAAA